GAUGAUGAACGUAGCGAAAUGCGAUAAGUAAUGUGAAUUGCAGAAUUCAGUGAAUCAUCGAAUCUUUGAACGCACAUUGCGCCCGCCAGUAUUCUGGCGGGCAUGCCUGUCUGAGCGUCAUUUCAACCCUCAUGCCCCUAGGGCGUGGUGUUGGGGAUCGGCCAAAGCCCGCGAGGGACGGCCGGCCCCUAAAUCUAGUGGCGGACCCGUCGUGGCCUCCUCUGCGAAGUAGUGAUAUUCCGCAUCGGAGAGCGAUGAGCCCCUGCCGUUAAACCCCCAACUUUCCAAGGUUGACCUCAGAUCAGGUAGGAAUACCCGCUGAACUUAAGCAUAUCAAUAAGCGGAGGA
rnacentral:misc_RNA from 1 species